rnacentral:rRNA from 1 species
UGGGUAACCUGCCUCUUGCUCUGGGAUAACUCCGGGAAACCGGGGCUAAUACCGGAUAUUCAUUUCUGGCCGCAUGGUUGGUUGUGGAAAGUUUUUCGGCGAGAGAUGGACCCGCGGCCUAUCAGCUUGUUGGUGGGGUGAUGGCCUACCAAGGCGACGACGGGUAGCCGGCCUGAGAGGGCGACCGGCCACACUGGGACUGAGACACGGCCCAGACCUCCGUACGGGAGGCA